AGACAAGAAAAGUAGAGGGGCAAUGAUGUGAUGGAAUCUCUAUGCAGCUGGAAUGGUAAUAUUUGAUUCACAAUGAGCCAUUCAAUGGAGUCUGCAACUCAGAUCAAAAAGUGGACAAAGGAAGAAGUUCAUCAGUGGUUGACGACGCAGGUUAACAUUCACCACAUAUAUGCAAACAAGUUGCUAGAAGAGGAGGUAUCAGGGGAAGACCUAGAAUACUUCCAAAAGACGGAUCUUCUGGAUCUGAACAUAAAACAUGGUCCGGCUGUUAGAAUUGUGUCUAUGCUUGAGGAUUUGAAGAGUGGAUUACAGCAUAAAUCCCAAUUUCCUGCAUACAUCAAGAAAUGGACACAAGAACAAGUUUGUCAGUGGUUAAGGGAAGAGGCGAAGGUAUACCACCAAUAUCUAGAGCGGAUUGUGGAAGAGGAAGUGUCAGGCGAUUGCCUGUUUUGCUUCAAAAAGAAUGAUCUUGUGGAACUAGGCAUUAAACAUGGUCCUGCUGUUAAAAUAAUUGGCAUGCUAGAAAAGUUAAACAAUGGACCAGAGCCUAUAUUACAACCCCCCACACACAUCAACGUUGACCAAAGAAAUCUACCAAAGAAAACUGAGAAGCAAGUAGAACUAUGUCAAGCUCUACUAGUUCAGACCGUAUCCCCCAUGAAGAGAGAACCAAGCACAGAAGAGCUCAAAAUAGUGGAACCAUCAGGGAAAACGGUUACACGAAAAAAAGAACCAAAACCACAGGCCAUGGUUGCAGAAAUGUUACCGUCCAAGAUCUCAAGCACGCCAAGUUCACUUACCUUGCUCCAGAAUACCCUUGACGACUUACAGCAGGAUGAGUUUAAACGCUUUAAGUCUUCUCUGAAAGACCUAAAACUGAACGGAUAUAGACCGAUUGCACGGAGUCACUUGGAAGACAGCAAGACCCGCACAGACGUAGCAGACUCGAUGACAAAGCACUAUGAGGAAGAGGCAUUAAAUGUCACUCUUCAGAUUCUAGGGAGAAUUGGACACAAUGAACUGGCUACCCGUCUGAAAAGGGAUAUGGGUAAGUGAAACAAUAUUGCAUUCAGUCAAAUGAGUCUUUCAAUCUCAAUCCCAGCCAAUUAACAUUGGACCUGUAUUAAUACAUUAUAACUGUUUUUAGGUUAAAAAGUCAUAAUUGUCAGUUUGUCACAAACAAGACCAUCAGUAAUAUUUGUUAGGAUCACCAGUAAUUGAUUUAGUUUUGAAA
rnacentral:lncRNA from 1 species